rnacentral:rRNA from 1 species
AUUGAACGCUGGCGGCGUGCUUAACACAUGCAAGUCGAGCGGUAGCAGGCGUAGCAAUACGUGCUGACGAGCGGCGAACGGGUGAGUAAUGCUUCUGAAUCUUCCUAGUAUUGGGGAACAACCUGGUGAAACUCAGGCUAAUACCGCCUACGACCUACUGGUGACAGCAGGGUCGCGCGAGACCUUUCGCUAUUAUAUGAGCCGAAGUCGGAUUAGCUAGUUGGUGAGGUAAAGGCUCACCAAGGCGACGAUCAGUAGCUGGUCUGCGAGGACGACCAGCCACACUGGAACUGAGACACGGUCCAGACUCCUACGGGAGGCAGCAGUGGGGAAUCUUGGGCAAUGGGGGCAACCCUGAUCCAGCGACGCCGCGUGAGUGAAGAAGGCCUGCGGGUUGUAAAGCACUUUUAGUGGGGACAAAAAGCACAGUGCUAAUACUCUUGUGUCUUGAUUUAACCCAAAGAAAAAGCACCGGCUAACUCUGUG